AACGGCCGCGGUAUAUUGACCGUGCAAAGGUAGCAUAAUCAUUAGUCUUUUAAAAGAGGGCUGGAAUGAAAGGUUUGACGAGGUGCUGACUGUCUCAUUUUAUUUGGUUUAGAAUUUAAUUUUUUAGUCAAAAAGCUAAAAUUUAAUUGGUAGACGAGAAGACCCUAUAGAGCUUUAUAUUUAUUUAUUUAAUUAUGCUUAUAUUAUUUGUAAUUGUUUAAUAAAAUAUUUUGUUGGGGUGACAAGAAUAUAUAACUAACUUUUAUUAUUUAUAUACCAUUAAUUUAUGAAUAUUAGAUCCAUUAAUUAUUGAUUGCUAGAUUAAGUUACCUUAGGGAUAACAGCGUAAUCCUCCCCCAGAGUUCUUAUUAACGGGUAGGGCUUGCGACCUCGAUGUUGGAUUAAGAUAAUAUUUAGGUGUAGCCGCUUAAUAUAUGGGUCUGUUCGAC
rnacentral:rRNA from 1 species